CAUAAAAAGCCCGGGGGGCAUUCCUAAUCAUGCAAGUCGAAGGAAACUUCCGUUAAUUGAUUAUGACGUACUUGUACUGAUUGAGAUUUUAACACGAACUGAGUGGCGAACGGGUGAGUAACACGUGGGUAACCUGCCCAGAAGUAGGGGAUAACACCUGGAAACAGAUGCUAAUACCGUAUAACAGAGAAAACCGCAUGGUUUUCUUUUAAAAGAUGGCUCUGCUAUCACUUCUGGAUGGACCCGCGGCGUAUUAGCUAGUUGGUGAGGUAAAGGCUCACCAAGGCAGUGAUACGUAGCCGACCUGAGAGGGUAAUCGGCCACAUUGGGACUGAGACACGGCCCAGACUCCUACGGGAGGCAGCAGUAGGGAAUCUUCCACAAUGGACGCAAGUCUGAUGGAGCAACGCCGCGUGAGUGAAGAAGGGUUUCGGCUCGUAAAGCUCUGUUGUUAAAGAAGAACGUGGGUAAGAGUAACUGUUUACCCAGUGACGGUAUUUAACCAGAAAGCCACGGCUAACUACGUGCCAGCAGCCGCGGUAAUACGUAGGUGGCAAGCGUUAUCCGGAUUUAUUGGGCGUAAAGCGAGCGCAGGCGGUCUUUUAAGUCUAAUGUGAAAGCCUUCGGCUCAACCGAAGAAGUGCAUUGGAAACUGGGAGACUUGAGUGCAGAAGAGGACAGUGGAACUCCAUGUGUAGCGGUGAAAUGCGUAGAUAUAUGGAAGAACACCAGUGGCGAAGGCGGCUGUCUGGUCUGCAACUGACGCUGGUGCUCGAAAGCAUGGGUAGCGAACAGGAUUAGAUACCCCUGGUAGUCCAUGCCGUAAACCGAUGAUUUACUAAGUGUUGGAAGGUUUUCCGCCCCUUUCGUUGCUUGCAGCUAACGCCAUUUAAGUUAAUUCCGGCCCUUGGGGGGAAGAUUACGGACACCG
rnacentral:rRNA from 1 species